rnacentral:rRNA from 1 species
UAGGGAAUCUUCCACAAUGGACGAAAGUCUGAUGGAGCAACGCCGCGUGAGUGAAGAAGGUUUUCGGAUCGUAAAGCUCUGUUGUUGGUGAAGAAGGAUAGAGGCAGUAACUGGUCUUUAUUUGACGGUAAUCAACCAGAAAGUCACGGCUAACUACGUGCCAGCAGCCGCGGUAAUACGUAGGUGGCAAGCGUUGUCCGGAUUUAUUGGGCGUAAAGCGAGCGCAGGCGGAAUGAUAAGUCUGAUGUGAAAGCCCACGGCUCAACCGUGGAACUGCAUCGGAAACUGUCAUUCUUGAGUGCAGAAGAGGAGAGUGGAACUCCAUGUGUAGCGGUGGAAUGCGUAGAUAUAUGGAAGAACACCAGUGGCGAAGGCGGCUCUCUGGUCUGCAACUGACGCUGAGGCUCGAAAGCAUGGGUAGCGAACAGGAUUAGAUACCCUGGUAGUCCAUGCCGUAAACGAUGAGCGCUAGGUGUUGGGGA